AAAAAUCCUUUGAAGGGAAUGAGUAAUUUACUCAAGUAAAUAACAGAGAGCCGAUGUUUGGUGCAAGUCGAUGUUUACCGGUAGAUGAAAAUCCUCCCUGAGGUGCAGACCUGAAUUAUUUAAUUAAGGGCUGACGUAAUUUCCACGUUAUAGGAAACGCGUAUGUUAGUACGUUGUAGAGCGUCUGAAUUAUUUUCAGGAACCUGGGUGGUAACGCGGCAUAGCCGUCCCUCAA
rnacentral:ncRNA from 1 species